rnacentral:piRNA from 1 species
UAAGCGUCAUCAAAAGUCAGACAAAGGC